rnacentral:rRNA from 1 species
AGUUCGAUCCUGGCUCAGAUUGAACGCUGGCGGGAUGCUUUACACAUGCAAGUCGAACGGCAGCACGGACUUCGGUCUGGUGGCGAGUGGCGAACGGGUGAGUAAUGUAUCGGAACGCCUAGUAGCGGGGGAUAACUACGCGAAAGCGUGUAGCCAAUACCGCAUACGCCCUUCGGGGGAAAGCGGGGGACCUUCGGGCCUCGCACUAUUAGAGCGGCCGAUAUCGGAUUAGCUAGUUGGUGGGGUAACGGCUCACCAAGGACGAUCCGUAGCUGGUUUGAGAGGACGACCAGCCACACUGGGACUGAGACACGGCCCAGACUCCUACGGGAGGCAGCAGUGGGGAAUUCGGGACAAUGGGGGAAACCCUGAUCCAGCCAUCCCUGCGUGUGCGAUGAAGGCUUCUCGGGUUGUGUUAGCCCUUUGGCAGGAAAGAAACGGCACGGAUAAUACCCGUGCAACUGACGGUACCUGCAGAAUAAGCACCGGCUAACUACGUGCCAGCAGCCGCGGUACUACGUAGGUGCAAGCGUUAAUCGGAAUUACUGGGCGUAAAGCGUGCGCAGGCGGUUCGGAAAGAAAGAUGUGAAAUCCCAGAGCUUAACUUUGAACUGCAUUUUUAACUACCGAGCUAGAGUGUGUCAGAGGGAGGUGGAAUUCCGCGUGUAGCAGUGAAAUGCGUAGAUAUGCGGAGGAACACCGAUGGCGAAGGCAGCCUCCUGGGAUAACACUGACGCUCAUGCACGAAAGCGUGGGGAGCAAAACAGGAUUAGAUACCCUGGUAGUCCACGCCCUAAACGAUGUCAAUCAGCUGUUGGGGCCUUCGCCUUGGUAGCGCAGCUAACGCGUGAAGUUGACCGCCCGGGGAGUACGGUCGCAAGAUUAAAACUCAAAGGAAUUGAUUAACCGCACAAGCGGUGGAUGAUGUGGAUUAAUUCGAUGCAACGCGAAAAACCUUACCUUACCCUUGACAUGUCUGAAUCCCGAAGAGAUUUGGGAGUGCUCGCAAGAGAACCGGAACACAGGUGCUGCAUGGCUGUCGUCAGCUCGUGUCGUGAGAUGUUGGGUUAAGUCCCGCAACGAGCGCAACCCUUGUCAUUAGUUGCUACGAAAGGGCACUCUAAUGAGACUGCCGGUGACAAACCGGAGAAGGUGGGGGAUGACGUCAAGUCCUCAUGGCCCUUAUGGGUAGGGCUUCACACGUCAUACAAUGGUCGGGACAGAGGGUCGCCAACCCGCGAGGGGGAGCCAAUCCCAGAAACCCGAUCGUAGUCCGGAUCGCAGUCUGCAACUCGACUGCGUGAAGUCGGAAUCGCUAGUAAUCGCGGAUCAGCAUGUCGCGGUGAAUACGUUCCCGGGUCCUGUACACACCGCCCGUCACACCAUGGGAGUGGGUUUACCAGAAGUAGCUAGCCUAACCCGUAAGGAGGGCGAUUACCACGGUAGGAUUCAUGACUGGGGUGAAGUCGUAACAAGGUAA